CUCCACUCCUCACAAUCUGUCUAAAUUUAACUCACCAUUGAAGGCCCUGGCUGUCGAAAACAGCUUUAUGUCGACUAAUCCAGGCAGAAACACAGAGUGCUGAUAGGGGAAGAGUGUCCUGCUUGCAUUUAUGGGAUGAGAAAUGGAGGAGGGCACAUUGUUGUCAAGUCCUGGUGAGAACAACUGGACUCAAAACCAGGCCAUGCAAUGGGGCAUCAUUAGGAUGGUGGGAGAGGUGCUCCUGUUGCCAGCACAGCCCAUUGCGCUUCAACAUAAAGGGGAGCAGGCAGUCGAAGUCUGACAUCUGUUUCAUAGAUAGCUGCAAAGCUGACAUGUGAAUGUGUGAGUUUAUAACACGCUAAAUAUUUAAAACAUCUCCAGGAGGAGCUUUCAGCAGGCAGUAGCCACUGAACGAGAAUGAAUGUGCCAUCAAUUCCCAGUGUACAACAUGCGUAUAAUAUUUAUAUUAACUACAAUAAACCUUGAAUUACUUCCUCUGGAUUUGAAUUGUUCCUCUGUAAGUAAGCGGAAAUAUCAGGACCCUCAUCCUACGCCAACUCCUAUCAGUGAGACUCUUUCCAGGGAU